rnacentral:rRNA from 1 species
UACGUAGGGUGCAAGCGCUAAUCGGAAUUACUGGGCGUAAAGCGUGCGCAGGCGGUUAUAUAAGACAGAUGUGAGAUCCCCGGGCUCAACCUGGGAAUUGCAUUUGUGACUGUAUAGCUAGAGUACGGUAGAGGGGGAUGGAAUUCCGCGUGUAGCAGUGAAAUGCGUAGAUAUGCGGAGGAACACCGAUGGCGAAGGCAAUCCCCUGGACCUGUACUGACGCUCAUGCACGAAAGCGUGGGGAGCAAACAGG